CUCCAUUUCACAGUAAAGUUCCUUAAAUUGUAUCCAAGAUAAUUCUUCUUUAGCUACAGAGUGCUGGGAAAAAGGAUGGAGAAGAAGUCAGUAGAGUUGAAAUGUUUAUAAAAACUCGCCAAGGUCGUCCUUGUAGGAAAGGAAAAGCAGUGGACAAAGAAACAUUGGAUACUAUUGUUGAUCAAGAACCUCAAGAAAAUACCGCAGAGCAAAUGGAAGAAUGAUUGAUUGAAGAACCUCUAGAUUUUACAUAGCAAAUGUUAUAAUUCUUUUGUUAUCUUUUAACUCUUUUAGUUUUAAUACUUACAACACUUUUAGUUUUAGCAUACAUUGGA